rnacentral:rRNA from 1 species
UCGUGUCGUGAGAUGUUCGGUUAAGUCCGGCAACGAGCGCAACCCUCGUCCUUAGUUGCCAGCAGUUCGGCUGGGCACUCUAAGGAAACUGCCCGUGAUAAGCGGGAGGAAGGUGAGGAUGACGUCAAGUCUUCAUGGCCCUUACGGGUUGGGCUACACACGUGCUACAAUGGCAACUACAGUGGGUUAAUCCCCAAAAGUUGUCUCAGUUCGGAUUGGGGUCUGCAACUCGACCCCAUGAAGUCGGAAUCGCUAGUAAUCGCGGAACAGCAUGCCGCGGUGAAUACGUUCCCGGGCCUU